rnacentral:rRNA from 1 species
AAUCUUCCGCAAUGGACGAAAGUCUGACGGAGCAACGCCGCGUGAGCGAUGAAGGUUUUAGGAUCGUAAAACUCUGUUGUUAGGGAAGAACAAGUACGAGAGUAACUGCUCGUACAUUGACUGUACCCAAACAGAUAGCCCCUGCUCACUCCGUGACGUCAUCCCCGGUAAUAAGUAGGGGGCGAGCAUUGUCCAGAAUUAUUGGGCGUAAAGCGCGCGCAGGCGGUCCUUUAAGUCUGAUGUGAAAGCCCGCGGCUUAACCGUGGAGGGUCAUUGGAGACUGGAGGACUUGAGUGCAGAAGAGGAGAGUGGAAUUCCAUGUGGAGCGGUGAAAUGCGUAGAGAUAUGGAGGAACACCAGUGGCGAAGGCGACUCUCUGGUCUGUAACUGACGCUGAGGCGCGAAAGCGUGGGGGGCGAACA